AGUGAACGCUGGCGGUAGGCCUAACACAUGCAAGUCGAACGGCAGCACAGUAAGAGCUUGCUCUUACGGGUGGCGAGUGGCGGACGGGUGAGGAAUACAUCGGAAUCUACUUUUUCGUGGGGGAUAUCGUAGGGAAACUUACGCUAAUACCGCAUACGACCUACGGGUGAAAGCAGGGGAUCUUCUGACCUUGCGCGAUUGAAUGAGCCGAUGUCGGAUUAGCUAGUUGGCGGGGUAAAGGCCCACCAAGGCGACGAUCCGUAGCUGGUCUGAGAGGAUGAUCAGCCACACUGGAACUGAGACACGGUCCAGACUCCUACGGGAGGAAGCAGUGGGGACUAUUGGACAAUGGGCGAAAGCCUGAUCCAGCCAUACCGCGUGGGUGAAGAAGGACUUCGGGUUGUAAAGCCCUUUUGUUGGGAAAGAAAAGCAGCAGGUUAAUACCCCGCUGUUCUGACGGUACCCAAAGAAUAAGCACCGGCUAACUUCGUG
rnacentral:rRNA from 1 species